UUCCACCUUUGUUAUGCCAUCAUUUCAAAGGCUUUCCCAACUCCAUCUUUGUCCUCUUCUGGUGUUAUAUAAUGAAAGAAUAAGAUGAUCAAUUGUUCUAAUCCCUUCUUGACACUCUUUCUUUCAGACUAAGGUUUUCUAAAUUCGUGCAAAUAGAUGGCAGAAAAGCUUGAAUUAUGUUUUGGUCGUUGACACUUUCACUGAAAAGGUUGGAUACAUUGAGAGGGUUGAUAAGAAUGCAUUUUCAAGAUGGAUGGAGAGGAGAGAUUGGAUGAUGGUUCUUUCGUUGGCACUUUUCAUGAAAAUAUUGGAUACAUUGACAGGGUUGACAAGAAUGCAUUUGCAAGAUGGAUAAAGAGACGAGUUUGCUUGCUGGAAACCGGUUUUGUGAUGGAGUGCGGCAAAUCAUGAGGUGGUUUAUGGAUUUGGAUCCCCUCAUGUGUUAAUUUCACAUGAUCAUGUCAUGUGAAAGAUAUGGACCUUUAAUUUCUUUCUUUAAUGAAAUCUAAUGACAACACACGAUGAAUUCAAACAUCGAUCCUAUCUCCAAAAUUCGGGUUGCGACCAAUAAGACUUGGAAGAUUGUUGCCAGAGUGCUACGACUUUGGAGAGUCCCAAACAAUAAGGAACCUAGCCAACCUGACUUCAUUGACAUGAUCCUUAUGGAUUCUAAGGGUGACAAGAUUCAGGCUACAGUUUGGAGUAGCCAUGUUGAAUAAUUUGAGGCAGUCUUAAAAGAGGGUUUUCCAAGAUUUGAGUAUAUUGACGUUUUUAGAGAUGUGUUUAAUUUUAAAUAAUAAUUGAACAAAAUUACUAAAAUACAAAUUUUUGUAUUAAUUGUUUUUCGAAUAAACUAAUAAUAGUUUUUUGUAAUAUUAAAUUUGAUUAAUUCUUUUCAUAACAAUUUGGAGGCAAAAACAAUAUUAAAUUUGCAUUUCAAUUUUGAAUUUACUUGAAAGUAGACAUUGAGUUAAAUGUCUUCAAUCAGUCAAUCACUACCUAAAGCUAAUGCAGUUAAUUCCACGAAUUACUUUUAAAAAAAAAUUAUUCAAUGCAGACUCAGAAUUUCAGCAUACUAAUUAAAUGCAAAAUUAUAAAG